UAAAAUAAAUAUACAUAAUAUAUAUAACAACACAUAAACAAAAUAUAUAAAUAAAUAUAUAAUAAUAUAUAUAUAUAUAUUAAAAUAUUUGAGUAUACCUAUAUAAAUAUAUAUAUAUAUAAAUAUACAAAUAUAAAUUAAAUAAAUAAUGCAUAUAUUUUUAUCAUAUUAAUAAUGGAAAAAUUGUCAUAACGGUUCAGGGAUUCGGGUUGUAACGCUAAUAAAGGUCAGCAACGCCAAGCGAUUAUUAUUUUCAGAUUUAUCAUUUUGUGCAUCCUGGGAAGUCGUACAACUACAAACUUCACUAAUUUUCCCACUAUUUUUGUACUCGGCGUAAUGGUCAACUUACACACUAAUGGGCACGGCGUCACGGAUAAAGGUCAACUGCGGUGAGGGUGUCACGCCGGCUUGGGCCUGGGCGGAGAGCGGGAAGGCCUGGAGAUGCGAGGCCUGGAAAGACAGACCGGCACUGAGCAGCUGGCUCCAUAGGUAGCCGCUCUUGGGCAGGCAGGAGAGGACCCAGGCGCCGCUGAGCUGGUCGAACACGCACUCGCACGUCCAUUCACCGGGAUCCCUAUCAUCACACAUGGCAACCGUUACACAUGCACUGCACACGUUACGAUACCGGCGCUGUAUUGCUGAUAAAGAUAUGGGUGCAUAUAAAAGAAUGAGCGAUUAUCUACCGGAAGUUGGCGGUCAAGCCGGGUAUCUGUGCCCAUAUGACUUACUGGCAGUAGGUCAGGUUGCAGUAAUCGUGGAUGGGAGGGAUGAUUUCCUCGGGGUGGGUCUCGCGCAGCAGACAGCACUCCAGAUUAACGCGGGUACGGUAUUUCUCGCGAGCCUGACAGCUCUGCGUAUCGUACGUCUCCACGACCUCCACGGAGGUCUUAUAGUACAGGUUACCGUUGACGAAUUCCAGCCGGGAGCUGGCGCUGAGCUGCGGUGUGCGCUGGACGAAGGGGAUCUGCUGGCUGCGACUGCCGAUGACGUUGGGAUUGGGACAGCUGCUCUUCUCAUCCGCCGUCAGUGGCACCUACAUUUAUUCCGUCCAUUAAACAAAUGUUUUCUAUUUUACCAUUUAGCUGCGGCGAAACUUCAUCGGCGCCCUUAUGUACAAAUUAUAAUUAUUAUUGUGUCAUACGUAUCUUCAUCAUAACAGCAUAAUAUUAUUUUGUAUGGUUUUUCGCAAAAAAAUUUUUUUAAAAAAUACCGUACACGUAUUAAUACAAAAAAAUAAAUAAUACACAAAAAACUUUGAUUAUAUGCCGCGAAGAGAUAUCCUGUGCAAUAACCGCGACGAUGAUACAACGAAGCUAACCAUUUCGGCCAUAAUUAUAGUAAUUUGUUUAAAUAAUUAAUUGUGAAACCAUUAACAGCUGUGUUAAAUUUUAUAUUUUUUUAUUUAUUACGAAACCACUCGUUUGAGCUCUAAUUAUAAUAUUGUAAUUAAUUAGUUUUGUUUGUUAAACAUUCUUAUAAAACAACGUACGAUGAUCUUCUCGUUGCCGGUGAAGCCGCGGCCGGUAUUAAUGUGGACACUGGGAUCCUGGGGCGUCAUGUCGGCCGCCAGCAGGGCGCCGGUCGACACCAGCUCCAGUUUAAAAUCAUAAUUCUCCCAGUCGCAAGUCAGUUUGAAAUCCGUCCGGAUGCGGCCGUAAUCAUGGCAGACCGUCUGCUGACUGUGGUCCUCAUUAUUCAGAUUGACCGGCUGAUUGACCGGCGGGCACAGCGGAUCCGCUUGACCGGCGACGGCCGCAAUACAGGCCACCGCCACCACGAACAGCGUGUACAUCGUUGCAAUGCGAGAAAUAACAAGUGGAGAAAAUGGAUUUCCUCGCCAGAACUCAAACUGCUACACACUGAACACCCGACUGCUGUGUCUUAUGUGCGAGGCUACUAUUCUUCGGCGCUUAUCACGUGCACUGCCUUAACGG